CUUUCUCGACGUUUGUCGCUAUAUCUUUGAUCCCAAGACAGCGUUUUUUUUCAUCUCAUCUCUCAAGUGGCAAAUAUUCUCAGUGUUUCUACAAAACUAUAAUAUUUAUCAACUGGUUCCACUGAUUCAGCGUGAGCGCGCGUAUGUGAAUGUGAAACGAUUCCGACGGCAUUAGUUUACGUGCAGUUUUCGUAUUUAUCGACUCUGCAUGAAACUCGAGCGAAAUUCUAAAUUAUCGUGUAUACGGAGAUUUAGAAAACCUUGAAAACGAAGCGGAAGUCUGAUCGAUAAUAAUCUCAAGAUCCGUGAAACGGUAUCAAUCUAUGGUAAAGACUUUCGAGGCAUAAGGAAGGUUAAAUACGUGUAUACAGUGCGACUGGUGCGGCAACGUUUUGAAAUUAAUCAGAGGCAAUCGUUGCCGCGAAAAUGUUUCUGCGUAGAACAUGUUCGACUAACAUACAUGGUCAGUGCAAUUCUUGUCUCGUGACUGAAGAUUUUAAGCAUCGCUCGGACCAUCGUCGUACACGUGCACGAUUGAUCGGAAAUUGUUAGCGCAACAGCCGAUAGAAAGAAGCGUGUUUCAUAUCCCGGACAAAAGCACAAGAAGCUCUCCCCUGGACCGAGAAACGUACGAGGCAUGAUCGUCCUUGGUCCUGGCUUAAAUCGUAUUUCAAUAUCUAAAAAAUAGUGUCGACUGUCCGUUAAUAUCGUUAAUAAUUACCACCUCUUUUUUCAUUUUUUUUUUUUUUUUUUGUAUUUUUUUCUCUCUUUGCGUUCAAGUACACUACGGCGACGAUCUAACGUUAGUUUGUAUUCGCGAGUUCAGUUCUGCGGCUUGCGAUACCGUUUCUCCCCCGGCUCGUUCAAUGAAUUCCACGCGUUAUCGUGUCUUUUCUCUGUCGAGAAAAGCGUCGAGGAAAUCGCGUCGGCAAGCCCCGAAGCUGCGCUAUUCAUUUCGAGAACAUCUUUGAAACGGCGAAACAUUCGUCGACAACGGCAACGAACCGAAAGCCUUUCGCCAUACGAGGCGAGCCGACGAUCGUCGUCGAAAUUUCACUCUGUCACGCGACCAACAAAAUAUGUAUAUACGAAAUAGAGUAAAAUUUAACGUACUAAGAGAGGAGGUGAAUUUUCGAUCUCCUCUAUCGAGCGACGGAGCAAGAGCUCUAGAGAGAAUUAUCCGUUUCUGUGAUAAUUGAUGAAGUUGAAAAUCUAUGUCGACGAUGAUUAAAAAGUUUCCCAGCACUGCGGUUCGUUGCCGCAACGCGGAACGAUUCGCCUUGAGAUAACGUUACAGUUCAUUAUCCUUUGUUUUUAUUAUUGACUAUCGUUACGAGGUUAACUCUAAUUAAUUAGAGAUUCGAUUGACUGUCGAGUAUCGUAAUACAGCGUGAAGACGAGACUGUUUUUUUUUUUUUAACUGUGGAUAAUAAUAAUUCGUUAAAGGGUGCGACGAAAUUGCGUACGACCUACUUUAACCAGGUCGAUUCUUGUUUCAACGAAUCAGGACAAGAAAUACUGCUAAUGUCCCGUAGAAACGAACGCACAGAACGAUAUCAGGAUAACGCUGUUCCCUUUUUCUUGAUUUUUUAUUUCAUUAGAGCUCAGUCAGAACCAGACUCGCUUAACUCGUACGAAUGAAAACGAUCACGAAAAAAUAUAAAUGUAACGAUCGCCAUGACUAGGAACCUUACGCUUAAAUGCUAAAUCAUUUAAUAAGAACGUGAAAAAAUAACGGGAUUUAUGUACAAGUCAACAGCCACGAGGUUUAAUAAUCUAAGUCUUAUUAGAAAGCGUUAGGCAAGUCUAUUUCUGACUUUAAAACUUAUUUAUUAAGCAACGCGCAGGUGAUUCAGAACGAUAGCCUGUUUAAUAUAUCUUCUUCUGAAUCACUCGCGGGUUGAUCUAUGCAUUUUACAACUUAAACACCGUUAAAGCUCUCCGGUUCGCGCCCUUUGAAUUACUCUACGCGAAUAAACCGAUUUACACGCAAUUCAUUCGUCAACCCUAUUUCGUCUCUAAUCGCUGAAAAUGUCUCGUACCAAAAUAUCUCUACGUGAUAUAAAAAACGCGGUUUUUCACGAUGAAAGCAACACACGGACGAACGAAAUGAAAAUUUCCACCCUGACUAUAUACGCCUGCCCCUUUAUCGUAGGGCAACCUAAGAUAAAACGAUACAUUUCAAGCGUAGCUCGCUGACUAGAGGGUAAGUCUCUUCAUCUUCUUCUUCUUCUCCUCCUCCUCAGUUUAUUUUUCUUUUUGGUUUUCCAUUGACCAGACAAUUUAAUUUUAUUUUAUUUCAUUGCUCGGCAUUCCUCUUGUUCCUUCCGUUUUUCAAGUCGUGCCUUACUCGACGAGGAAAUACUAAAUUAAUAUCACAUGGACAAUUUGGAGUCUUCAAGUACUUUGGAUAUAAUUAAACGAGUAGAUUAAAUAGACUAGAAGGAAAUAACGUGUUACGACUAGGAUAGCGAUUGAAAGAGCAUAUGGACUAGAAAUCAUCGGAACGAAGAUGGUCUAACGUUUACAUUCGACGAUUGAAAGCGACGGAAUCGCGAUUCAGUUCGCGUAUUUAACAAUGAGGAAAUUACAGGAGGACGUUCUAUAAUUCAGGGAAGCAGAACGAGCGACCCUUUUGCCACCGAAUGGUCAUUCCUGCAUUCAACAGGUGGUCCAGUUCACGUGAAAUGUUGAUGAAAACCUUCGACGUGUGCCCUCUGCCCCUCUCUACCUGCAUUGUACGCCGACGGCGUCGAUAGAACUUUCGGAAAAACGACUCUUCCCAGACGUCUCGAGGAAAUUUCUAAUUUGGGAGAAAAGUUUUCGCCUAACCGUCCACCACGAAUCGGCCAUUUUCCAUACAGAAUAUUAGAACGAAACAUUUAAGUAGCAUUUUAUGAUACGUUUAUCUCACGAAAUUCAGGUACGCUGUUUACCCUAAAAUCCAGGUAAAUGAUCAAAUAAAAUAUCUUAAAUCAAUUAAUCGAAUAAAGUACAAAGUGUUUGCUGUUCCAGGUAAAGAGAAUAGACACAGGUUUCUUACAAAACGAAGAAGACAAGAUAAAAGGAUGAUCGUGGCCAAGUUUGUCCAAAGUUUCGAGUAUCGAAGAGGAUAAAGUAGUUAACGAUAAAAGCUUGAGAAUCCGAAGCUGUUUAUGUCUAUCCUCGAAAAAGCUCUUUGAUUCUCGACCCGAUCGUCGUAUCGAAAUGAAUUUUACUCACAAAUUGAUGGUCCCUCGAUAGUAUUGCAUCAAUUCGGCUGUAGCCGCGUUUACCGAAAAAGCCUCGUCGAUUCUUAAUCGCGAGCAAGCAUUGGGAACGAACGAUUGCCGUUUCGUUUCGUUUCGUUUCCCUCGAGUUUCGAAUAUCGAUUACCAGACGGUGAACGGAUUUCCGUUGACUGCGGAGGGACAAGAGGAAUGCCGUUUGAAUCGCAUCGUGUCCGCGAUCGAUGCCAAGAAAAUCGCCGUUCCUUUUAAGCGUAGCCUUAAACAGUAUCCCUGUAUGUACGUUCAAAACACUUUCUCCUCUUUCUUUAGAAUUUUAACCCCUUCGGAUCUUCUUCGUUUCUCUGAUUAUAAAAUCCAAGGGGAUGAAAUUCCCAGACGUCUCUAACGAACCGUUUUCUUUUUCUCACAUUGACCGUGGAUUUAAUGAACCAUCGUUCGCUUACCCAUAUCCAGGUCGCGUUGGAUGCCGUACGACGAUGAAGAUUUCUGUUCGAAAGGCGAAAGAUCACCUGUGGCAUCGACGAUGACGACAAGAAACGCUCGAUUGCCUCGCUUCACGGACCUUUCUCCUCGUGUGUAGUUCUGAACUUCGAUGCUCUCGAAAAGUUUUCGAGGAAGUUGAAGCAAGGAAUUCACUGUCGUCGCUGAAGUUAUCGAAUUGACCCAUCGUCCAGGAAGGUUUUACGCUUCUUUCACGCGAACCUGACUGAAAGAGAAAAAUCAUGCUAUAUCUCCGCGGCUAACUAUACUCAAGAGGUACAAUCGCGGCGAAAAGAACGCAAACUAAAAUCAAAAUUAAAAUAUCUUCGUCGAGGUAUCCACCGACUCACCGGAUGAACAUUAAAGACCCCAGCGUCGACAAGCGUCCAUCGAAAAGGAACACGGUUACUGGGGCGUAUCGACGUCGUUGCUGCUCUCGUCGUUCUCCCUCUGGCAGGCCGAUUCCAGGUGUUUGUUCAGGUUGGACCGAUCGGCGAACGCCUUGCCGCAGUGGGCGCAACCGUAUGGUUUCUCCCCGGUGUGACUUCUGAGAUGACCUUGCAGUAACCAAGGCCUGGAGAACAUCUUGCCGCAGACGCCGCAACUGUGCGUCAACUUGUGUGUCAACACGUGCAUCGCCAGGGCGGGCAUGCUCACGUACGCCUUGCCACAGUGGAUGCACUUCUUCGCCGAUUGGGAGUCGAUGCUGCGAUGGGUUUGCUUGUGCCGCGAUAGGUUCGAGGAUGUUGCGUAUUGUUUACCUGGAAAAAGAUGAUACGGCGUCGCUGUACUCGAAGGAGGAGACGGCUCUCCCGGUGGCAAAUGAUGAAGCACGCUCAUCUGUUGUUCCGUGACUGUACUGGACGGCGAUCUGGGUGCGGUGAACGGUAACGCGGACGUCACCAUUGUCGUAUUCUCGACGCUGGAACCGAUGGACUCUGUUGCUGCUGGGAUAAUUAUUGAGGAGGAACCUGUGGUACAGGUAAUCACCGUCGUCGUCGUCGUCUCUGUCCGUGCGACGAUCGCUGGAGCUUCCGUCGCGACGAUGAUGGCAUUGCUCGAUGCGUUCGACGUGGAUGUCGCGUUCCCAUUGCUCGGCUCGUUUAGCCUCUCCCUGGAUACCUCUUGCUCCGCUGUUUUCCUUCCUGUCGUCGCUCUCGUUUCCUGGGACUGCGCGCUCAGUUUUACUUUUCAAGUACAGAUCCCUAGUGGCGUACUCCGAACUUGAAAGAAGAAAAUAAACUGAUGCAAGAAAAUAAUUGCCGAAGCCACGAGACUGUUGGAAACACGGCAAGAAGCAUCGAUCAAUCUUAACGCUUCGGGAGUAGCAAUUAAGCUCGAAAAGAGCGAGUUCUUGGUAGAGAACGAGAAGAAUCCCUCUCGUUCGCGAGAUUCAAUAAACCCGGCGACUGGAAUUUCGUUUGUAGCGGGAAAACUUUAUUCGGCAACCAGCGUAGACCGGCUACCGAGCCGUUUUUAUUUCUUCGAAAAGAAACGUAAUAGAAAGGUCGAGGAAAAGGGGGCGAAAAAGGAUUGUCAGCCCCUUCUUUUUUCUUUUUUUCUUUUUUUUCUUCUUUCUCCCCUUCGUUCACGAUAUUAACAAGUCACCUGACGAGUAGCGUGUAACUCGAUUUCUUAAUUUGACUUUUUAAUCGAGAUUUAACGAGCGAACACGAAAGACGAGGAACUCUAGCCGCUGUUGUAGACGUGGCAGUGAACGGUGUCGAAGCUGGUGGUUGAAAUGGCGCGGGCACGACGGCAUGGGGCGGGGGGGAUUAUGACGGCAAGCAUGUUGGAAAGGAGGUCAAAGGGGAUGAGUGGAUGGCUAAGGAAAGUGUACGACCGAGCGGAUAUAAAAUUUCACGAUAACUCGGUUAUGAAACUGCGCGUUUCGUUCGAGCAAGCACCGCUUCUGCCAGAGGACCACCAGCUCUUUUAGUCUUUUCAAAGCGCACCCAGUUGUUCCGUUGUUAUUCACCUGCGUUUAGUCACCGGAUGACUUUCAUUGUUGAAUUUAAAAUUGAUUAAAGAAAACGUUGAAAAUCAUUGUAAAAUUAUUCUCCUCCUAAUUAGAGAUUUACUUUUUUUGGUAAUUUGCUUUCGAUUGGCCUGGUUCGACUAGAAAGCUGGCGCAGUCGUGUGCAGGCAUUGUAACGAGUCUUAAGUGCGGUCUUUGUAGCUCCAUUAACGUCUCCGGCACAAGUUUCGCAUGACACUUUCUCAUUCACUCGAUUACGAACACGAGGCAUAAACCGAGCCUUACAAAACGGGGCCGUCGCUUGAAACGCCGCCACCGGCAACAACAAUUCAGACAAUUAAUGUAGCUUUGCCCCGCGACGAGUAAUGCGUUUACCGCGAAUUGCACCAAUGUACCUAGAAAUUGCCACCUCCGCCACGUUUCGCGUCUCCCCGUUUACAUUUUUCUUUAAGCACCAUCGUAUUUCUCUUUGCGAGUUUCAUUUUGAAAAAAUUGUAUUCACGAUCGUGCGCUUUUUAAAUUAUAUCUCAGUUAAUUAGAGAAGAUUGUUCGUUAAUAACGACGCGGUACUCUGUUUUAAUUCUGACCUCGUAUUAAACUGAAGAAUUUAAUUUUCGUUAUAAAUUAUUCGAGAUUUAUGAAAUAUUUUCGAGCAACGGCUGCAGAUGAUUUUUCGUUGGUUUUUCUUUGCUGCGACGAAACGCUCGCUCCUGCAGCGCGCCGACACGGGACGAACGAUAUAUGGCUAGAGGGUGAAUCAAUACCACGGACAUUCCGAACAAAUAGCAACAUUCGCAUUAAUUGAACGUAAUAGCUGCGGCUAAAAUAUUGAUCAUUAUUAUUCGCUCGGUAAGACUAAUAGCUCGAUAUCUUUCCGAUUUUUCUUUGCUAUGUAAGCAGCA